rnacentral:rRNA from 1 species
GUAAGUGUGUAAGAGCGUACGGUGGAUGCCUUGGCACCAGGAGCCGAUGAAGGACGUAGGAGGCUGCGAUAAGCCUCGGGGAGCUGUCAACCGAGCUGAGAUCCGAGGAUGUCCGAAUGGGGAAACCCAGCACGAGUGAUGUCGUGUUACCCGCGCCUGAAUGUAUAGGGCGUGUGGAGGGAACGUGGGGAAGUGAAACAUCUCAGUACCCACAGGAAGAGAAAACAAUAGUGAUUCCGUGAGUAGUGGCGAGCGAAAGCGGAAGAGGCUAAACCGUGUAGAUGUGAUAGCCGGCAGGCGUUGUCUAUGCGGGGUUGUGGGGCUCAUUUUCUCGUUACUGCCGUGGCGAGCAACAGUCAGAAAAGUUCGUGUUAGCUGAAUUGGUCUGGGACGGCCAACCAUAGACGGUGAGAGUCCGGUAAGCGAAAACACGUGCUCUGUUGUAGUGAGUUCCCGAGUAGCAGCGGGCCCGUGAAAUCUGCUGUGAAUCUGCCGGGACCACCCGGUAAGCCUGAAUACUCCCUGGUGACCGAUAGCGGACUAGUACCGUGAGGGAAAGGUGAAAAGUACCCCGGGAGGGGAGUGAAAUAGUACCUGAAACCGUGCGCUUACAAUCCGUCAGAGCCUUCGAGCAGCUUGCUGCUGGGGGUGAUGGCGUGCCUUUUGAAGAAUGAGCCUGCGAGUUAGUGGCAUGUGGCGAGGUUAACCCGUGGUGGGGUAGCCGUAGCGAAAGCGAGUCCGAAUAGGGCGUUUGAGUCGCGUGUUCUAGACCCGAAGCGGAGUGAUCUACCCAUGGCCAGGGUGAAGCGACGGUAAGACGUCGUGGAGGCCCGAACCCACUUAGGUUGAAAACUGAGGGGAUGAGCUGUGGGUAGGGGUGAAAGGCCAAUCAAACUCCGUGAUAGCUGGUUCUCCCCGAAAUGCAUUUAGGUGCAGCGUCACGUGUUUCACGCCGGAGGUAGAGCUACUGGAUGGCCUAGGGGGCCCACAAGCUUACCGAAGUCAGCCAAACUCCGAAUGCCGGUGUGUGAGAGCGUGGCAGUGAGACUGCGGGGGAUAAGCUUCGUAGUCGAGAGGGAAACAGCCCAGAUCGCCGGCUAAGGCCCCUAAGCGUGUACUAAGUGGAAAAGGAUGUGGAGUCGCGAAGACAACCAGGAGGUUGGCUUAGAAGCAGCCACCCUUGAAAGAGUGCGUAAUAGCUCACUGGUCAAGUGAUUCUGCGCCGACAAUGUAGCGGGGCUCAAGUACACCGCCGAAGCCGCGGCACUCCAACAUGACAUCCAUCAUCUCCUGCGGGGGAUGGUGCAGUGGUUGGGGUGGGUAGGGGAGCGUCGUACAGCCAGGGAAGCAGCGGUGUGAACCAGUUGUGGAGGCUGUGCGAGUGAGAAUGCAGGCAUGAGUAGCGAAAGACGAGUGAGAAACUCGUCCGCCGAAUGACCAAGGGUUCCUGGGCCAGGUUAAUCCGCCCAGGGUGAGUCGGGACCUAAGGCGAGGCCGACAGGCGUAGUCGAUGGACAACGGGUUGAUAUUCCCGUACCCGUGUAUCCGCGCCCAUGCUGAAUCAGUGGUACUAA